rnacentral:lncRNA from 1 species
CGCUGUUGACGCCGGACCCUACGACGUAGUCGCGCCAAUUCCUUAGCCGGGUCUUUAGCGAAUGCUGGUGCUGAGAAGCCAACGACAUUCAGACUCCAGC